rnacentral:rRNA from 1 species
AACAAACGCUGGCGGCGUGCCUAAUACAUGCAAGUCGAACGGGGAAAGCUUUCGGGUGAGUACUAGUGGCGCACGGGUGAGUAACGCGUGGAUAAUCUGCCUUAGAGUGGGGGAUAACUAGUCGAAAGAUUAGCUAAUACCGCAUAAGACCACAAGAACUGCGGUUCAAGGGGUCAAAGGUUUUUCGCUCUAAGAUGAGUCCGCGUAAGAUUAGCUAGUUGGUAGGGUAACGGCCUACCAAGGCGACGAUCUUUAACUGGUCUGAGAGGAUGAUCAGUCACACUGGAACUGAGACACGGUCCAGACUCCUACGGGAGGCAGCAGUAGGGAAUAUUGCACAAUGGAGGAAACUCUGAUGCAGCGACGCCGCGUGGGUGAUGAAGGCCUUCGGGUCGUAGAGCUCUGUCGCAGGGGAAUAACACAAUGAAGGUACCCUGUAAGAAAGGAUCGGCUAACUUCGUGCCAGCAGCCGCGGUAAUAC